AUUGAACGCUGGCGGCAGGCUUAACACAUGCAAGUCGAGCGGAGCGGCGGACGGGUGAGUAAUGCUUAGGAAUGUGCCUAUUCGUGGGGGAGAACAUCUAGAACGGGAAGCUAAAACCGCAAACUAUUGGCAGAGCCUACGUCGGAUUAGCUAGUUGGUGGGGUAAAGGCCUACCAAGGCGACGAUCUGUAGCGGGUCGGGGAGGAUGAUCCUCCACACUGGGAAUGAGAAACGGGCCAGACUCCUAAGGGAGGCAGCAGUGGGGAAUAUUGGACAAUGGGGGGAAACCUGAUCCAGCCAAGCCGCGGGUGUGAAGAAGGCCUUAUGGUUGGAAAGCACUUUAAGCGAGGAGGCGUUACUCGCAGAAGAAGCACCGGCUAACUCUGUGCCAGCAGCCGCGGUAAUUC
rnacentral:rRNA from 1 species